GUGCCAGCMGCCGCGGUAAUACCAGCUCCCCGACUGGUCGGGACGAUUAUUGGGUCUAAAGCGUCCGUAGCCGGCCCUGUAUGUGAUCCGUUAAAUCCAGCGGCUCAACCGCUGGGCUGCGGAUCAUACUAUGGGGCUAGGGGACGGGAGAGGCCGGAGGUACUCCGCGGGUAGGGGUAAAAUCCGCUGAUCCGCGGAAGACCAACAGUGGCGAAGGCGUCCGGCCAGAACGCGCCCGACGGUGAGGGACGAAAGCCAGGGGAGCGAACCGGAUUAGAUACCCGGGUAGUCCUGGCCGUAAACGAUGCCCGCUAGGUCUUGGUGAAGCUUAGGGCUUCAUCAGGGCCGCAGGGAAGCCGUUAAGCGGGCCACCUGGGGAGUACGGCCGCAAGGCUGAAACUUAAAGGAAUUGGCGGGGGAGCACCACAAGGGGUGAAGCCUGCGGUUUAAUUGGAGUCAACGCCGGGAACCUUACCAGGGGUGACGGCAGAGUGAAGGUCAGGCUAAAGACCUUACCUGACAAGCCGAGAGGAGGUGCAUGGCCGUCGCCAGCUCGUGCUGUGAAGUGUCCUGUYAAGUCAGGCAACGAGCGAGACCC
rnacentral:rRNA from 1 species